rnacentral:rRNA from 1 species
GGGAAGCGGACCUCAUAAAGUAUGUCGUAGUCCGGAUUGGAGUCUGCAACUCGACUCCAUGAAGUCGGAAUCGCUAGUAAUCGUAGAUCAGAAUGCUACGGUGAAUACGUUCCCGGGCCUUGUACACACCGCCCGUCACACCAUGGGAGUGGGUUGCAAAAGAAGUAGGUAGCUUAACCUUCGGGAGGGCGCUUACCACUUUGUGAUUCAUGACUGGG